rnacentral:misc_RNA from 1 species
AACUGAUACUACCUGCGGGAACCUGCGGAGGGAUCAUUACAGAGUUGCAAAACUCCCUAAACCAUUGUGAACGUUACCUAAACCGUUGCUUCGGCGGGCGGCCCGGGUCCUUCCCGGCGCCCAUCGGCCCUCGCGGGCGCCCGCCGGAGGUAAACCAAACUAUUGCAUUGUAUGGCCUCUCUGAGUCUUCUGUACUGAAUAAGUCAAAACUUUCAACAACGGAUCUCUAGAUCGGAAGAG